UUAUGUAGGUUUGUUAGUUCUUUCGAGAGAUCGUGAUUUCGUUCGUUCCGGGCGCGCCGCGGUUUUUCUUUCAUCGUCUGAUUGUUGGGGCUUCCUUUCCGUAGUAGCCUCAUAUUGUUUCUUUCGUUCCAAGUUAGACAAAUGUGUCUUUGAUACCGAAUGCGGCCAGUAGGGUUGCGAAUUAUUGUACUGAUCGAUGUAAUCGUUGUGUGGGAGAUAGGUGGUGUGUUAUGUAUGUUGUUUUACGUUUGUAAGGAUUUAUGUAAGCGCUGCGUUCGAGAUAUGUGUUUCGCAGUUAGGCUACGAAAUAACUAUCUCUUUACGCAGGCCCAUGAUCAAGUAGAGUCAGAACUCGACAUUCUUGCCAAUAGGUUGAAUGUCGAGACCCAUGCAUAAUGUUGAAUAACUCAUGGGCGGGUCUCGUGCGUAGUCACCUCCUCGUGGUGAGACCUGGUAAUUGGCAUCGUUUUCCAAAAAUUAAUCAGCUGAUUAAUCUUUGGAAAACGAUACCAAGCCAAGAACUACGCAACAGUCCAGUUUGGAUCACCAAAAGCCGCGAAAAGAAUUUUGGAUGAUCUAGACUGGACUGCACCGUGGGACACCGUUGAAGAGCGUUGGACACCGUUGGACACUGUUGAACACCUUUGGACAUCGUGGGACACUGUUGAACACCGUUGGACAUCGUGGGGCGCGGUGGGACAUCGUGGGACACCGUGGGAUACCGUGGGAUACCGUGGGAUGCGUACGUUUUAGUCUUCAUUAAUCGUAAGGUAGAUACCUGUGUUAAGUGCAUUGUGAGCUUAUUCUGUACAACGAUAUUUAUCCACCUUGGAACGAAAAAAGAAAAA